rnacentral:lncRNA from 1 species
GCGCAAGAACGAAACAGACUCUGAAUUGAAUUUGAGAAAUAAAAUAAUAAUUUUACAGACUGUUAUAGUUGUAUAUAUAUUAUUUAACUAUUGUAAUAAUUAUAACAUACCCCUUAUAUUAUAUAUAAUCUACAUUCCCCUAUAAACUAAUUCUAGAUACAGACUUUGUUUAUUACAGACUUUGUAUUUCUAAAUACAAACUAGACUACAAUUAAUAGUCUUCACAGUCUUCUAAUUACAGCCUUUCCUAAGUUCCUUUAUCUUUUUUUAAGCUGCUUAAUUCCCACACAAACCAAACCAUAAAUAUGUGAUAUUGAUUUGCCAGCAAAAACUCCAUCAUCAAACAUCAUCUUUUCUGUCAAGUUUUGCUUCUGAAAUCUUCAGUCUCUUAUAGUGCGAAUUACCUGACGAUGGGGGGGGGUGGAAAAAACCCCAGGUGUGCUCUUUGCCAUCUACCAUCAUAUCAACUAAUCCCAAUAGUUGAGAUUUAUGAUCCUUAGUCCAGUUUCUGCCUACCUCCUCAUUGACUACCUGCAAUAGAGUAUGUACCACUACUACAAUCAUAUAUUUAGCAGAUCCAGACUUAAACAUACUAAAUAGAACAUACCCAAACAUACUAAACAGAUCAGAAACUAUCAGAAUAUCAGAACACACACAAACUCAUUAGUAGUAUCAGAAUAUGCAGAGUAACCAUACAGUCUGAAUUUUUUCCUGUAUUAGAAGAAAGAAAUUUGAAUAGAAUUUAACCUUCUUCCUUUAUCACCUACUUCCUUCCAUACACACAUUUCUAGUAUUUAAAUUGGUUCUUAUGUAAUCCUACAAAAAUCAUUUGUCCAACCAAACACAAGCACACACAUACAAACAAUAUCUAACCAACCAACAAACAAAAUAAUAGGAAAAAAAAAACUGUAGUGAGUCUUAAUAUCAGAAUAAGAACAUGAACAUAAACGAAACAUCAACAACUUUUAUUUAUUUAUUUUAGAGAUCGAAGUAAAAUUAAAUAACAUAUAAGAAUAUUUUAGAGAAGAU